UAUGUGCUUGGUUUAGGGCGUUUGUGAUUGUGGUUUGGAUUUUGGUUGAUUGGUAGAUUGUAUCUUAAUCUCUAAUGAGCCAACGACCACAAUCUGGUGCUCCUGCUCCCAGAAAGGCAUGGUGCACUGCCCUUUGUUAAAUGUGAACCUGUAGUUUAUACAAUAUUACUGAUUUGCUUUGUUUUGACUCAGAGGAGGUUCAUACCAAAAGCUCGCCCAAAGGCUGAAGUUAAACCGUAUAAACUCCUCACUUUUUGUUCAAACCAAUGUACUUUAUUAUUGAUUAUCCUUUUCUUUUCUGGUUAAUUUGAACAUGACUCACUUGUGUUGUUCUUGAUGUCUCUAUAGUGACCCGGAGGAGGAAGAGCAAGCUAGUCAUGCUGAAAAGGAGAGGGAGUUGCUCAGACAUUUCCAUGAACAAUCUUUGAGGGCAAAGCUGAAAAACGAAAAGAAAGGAACAAACUGGAUGUUAGAGAACUUGCAAUUCAUUUUGGGGUGUGUUCGAAUCAUUCCUGUUGUGCAAAAGGUUUAUACCUGU